GGGGAGGUGGCAGAGCGGUCAAUCGCAGCAGGCUGUAAACCUGCCGCCUUCGGGCUACGGAGGUUCGAACCCUCCCCUCCCCACCA
rnacentral:tRNA from 1 species